CAGGGUUUUUUUCUGUCACAGAAGCUGAUGAAGACUGUUGAAAAGGAAAAUUACAUGGAAAAGCAUACUUAGAAAUUUCUGUUCCCAGCAGUGAUACUCUUUGUGUUAAUAAGAAAUGUGUAUUUGAAGGUGAUGCAGCACUAUAGAUAUGGAAGAAUACAAGUUUUAUGUGAAUGGAGCCCAUUAAAAUGUCACUUGAAAGACACUUCAGUGGGACAAGGGCUGGGGAACUCCCAAGGUUGUUGUACUUGGAGAACUCCGAUGAUGGAGCCCCAGCUGAUACACCCACUCCUUAAGGCUCAACCCUUUGCGCGUUGAGAAGAUGCAAAGACA